GACGAACGCUGGCGGCGUGCUUAACACAUGCAAGUCGAACGGAAAGGCCCUGCUUUUGUGGGGUGCUCGAGUGGCGAACGGGUGAGUAACACGUGAGUAACCUGCCCUUGACUUUGGGAUAACUUCAGGAAACUGGGGCUAAUACCGGAUAGGAGCUCCUGCUGCAUGGUGGGGGUUGGAAAGUUUCGGCGGUUGGGGAUGGACUCGCGGCUUAUCAGCUUGUUGGUGGGGUAGUGGCUUACCAAGGCUUUGACGGGUAGCCGGCCUGAGAGGGUGACCGGCCACAUUGGGACUGAGAUACGGCCCAGACUCCUACGGGAGGCAGCAGUGGGGAAUAUUGCACAAUGGGCGGGAGCCUGAUGCGGCAACGCCGCGUGCGGGAUGACGGCCUUCGGGUUGUAAACCGCUUUCGCCUGUGACGAAGCGUGAGUGACGGUAAUGGGUAAAGAAGCACCGGCUAACUACGUG
rnacentral:rRNA from 1 species